rnacentral:rRNA from 1 species
UACGGGGGGUGCGAGCGUUGUCCGGAAUCACUGGGCGUAAAGGGCGCGUAGGUGGUUUGAUAAGGGUGUGGUGAAAGUCCGGGGCUCAACCCCGGAUCUGCCGUGCCGACUGUCAAACUCGAGGACUGUAGAGGCAGACGGAAUUCCGGGUGUAGCGGUGGAAUGCGUAGAGAUCCGGAGGAAGACCGGUGGCGAAGGCGGUCUGCUGGGCAGUUUCUGACGCUGAGGAGCGAAAGCGUGGGGAGCGAACAGG